AUUGAACGCUGGCGGCAGGCCUAACACAUGCAAGUCGAGCGGCAGCGGGAAAGUAGCUUGCUACUUUUGCCGGCGAGCGGCGGACGGGUGAGUAAUGCCUGGGGAUCUGCCCAGUCGAGGGGGAUAACUACUGGAAACGGUAGCUAAUACCGCAUACGCCCUACGGGGGAAAGCAGGGGACCUUCGGGCCUUGCGCGAUUGGAUGAACCCAGGUGGGAUUAGCUAGUUGGUGAGGUAAUGGCUCACCAAGGCGACGAUCCCUAGCUGGUCUGAGAGGAUGAUCAGCCACACUGGAACUGAGACACGGUCCAGACUCCUCCGGGAGGCAGCAGUGGGGAAUAUUGCACAAUGGGGGAAACCCUGAUGCAGCCAUGCCGCGUGUGUGAAGAAGGCCUUCGGGUUGUAAAGCACUUUCAGCGAGGAGGAAAGGUUGGUAGCUAAUAACUGCCAGCUGUGACGUUACUCGCAGAAGAAGCACCGGCUAACUCCGUGCCAGCAGCCGCCGUAAUAC
rnacentral:rRNA from 1 species